AUUGAACGCUGGCGGCAGGCCUAACACAUGCAAGUCGAGCGGUAGCACAGAGAGCUUGCUCUCGGGUGACGAGCGGCGGACGGGUGAGUAAUGUCUGGGAAACUGCCCGAUGGAGGGGGAUAACUACUGGAAACGGUAGCUAAUACCGCAUAACGUCGCAAGACCAAAGAGGGGGACCUUCGGGCCUCUUGCCAUCGGAUGUGCCCAGAUGGGAUUAGCUAGUAGGUGGGGUAACGGCUCACCUAGGCGACGAUCCCUAGCUGGUCUGAGAGGAUGACCAGCCACACUGGAACUGAGACACGGUCCAGACUCCUACGGGAGGCAGCAGUGGGGAAUAUUGCACAAUGGGCGCAAGCCUGAUGCAGCCAUGCCGCGUGUAUGAAGAAGGCCUUCGGGUUGUAAAGCACUUUCAGCGGGGAGGAAGGUGUUGAGGUUAAUAACCUCAGCAAUUGACGUUACCCGCAGAAGAAGCACCGGCUAACUCCGUGCCAGCCGCCGCCGUAA
rnacentral:rRNA from 1 species